rnacentral:tRNA from 1 species
GGAGAGGUGCGUGAGCGGUUUAAACGGCACGCCUGGAAAGCGUGUAGGCUCGAAAGGGCCUCGAGGGUUCGAAUCCCUCCCUCUCCG